CGUCUAUAUACGUAUAGCAUAUCAAUAAGCGGAGGAAAAGAAACUAACUAGGAUUCCCUUCAGUAACGGCGAGUGAAGCGGGAAGAGCUCAAAUUUGAAAUCUUCAAGGUUCUACCUUGACGAAUUGUAGUUUAAAGAAGUGUUUUCUGUUGGAGUUUUGGUAAAAGUUCUUUGGAAUAGGACAUCAUAGAGGGUGAGAAUCCCGUAUUUGACCAUUAUUUCCAGCUUUGUGAUACACUUUCAAAGAGUCGGAUUGUUUGGGAAUGCAGUCCAAAAUGGGUGGUAAAUUUCAUCUAAAGCUAAAUACUGGCGAGAGACCGAUAGCGAACAAGUACCGUGAGGGAAAGAUGAAAAGAACUUUGAAAAGAGAGUUAAACAGUACGUGAAAUUGUCAAAAGGGAAGCGUUUGACACCAGUGUUGUUUUCUCGAAAAUCAAUUAAAAAUGGCUGGGAUUUUGUGUUGUAUUGACUUUAUCAGCUUUCUGCACUUUUUUCCUUAUCUUUUUUAAUGCACUUUUCGUUUAACAAGUCAACAUCAAUUUCUUUUGUUGUAAAAGGGUCAUUGGAAGGUGGCUUUCUUUUCGGAGAAAGUGUUUAUAGCCUUUGGCCUCUGCAAUCGGAGAGAUUGAGGUCUGCAGCGUAGAUCCUUCGGGGUUAGAUGCAUUUGUGCUAAGUUAUAGCCUUUCAUAGACAACUUGUUGACUAUGAUCAGUCAUGUAGCUUACUCGCUUAUGUUAUUUUACCUACGCUUAGGAUGUUGACGAUCAGCUGAGCGCG
rnacentral:rRNA from 1 species